rnacentral:rRNA from 1 species
CCUACGGGAGGCAGCAGUGAGGAAUAUUGCGCAAUGCCCGAAAGGGUGACGCAGCGACGCCGCGUGGAGGAUGAAGGCCCUACGGGUCGUAAACUCCUUUUAUGAGGGAAUAAUUUCUCGCUAUAGGCGAGAUUGAAUGUACCUCAAGAAAAAGCAUCGGCUAACUACGUGCCAGCAGCCGCGGUAAUACGUAGGAUGCUAGCGUUGUCCGGAUUUACUGGGUGUAAAGGGAGCGCAGGCGGGAUGAUAAGUCGGUGGUGAAAUUCUUAGGCUUAACCUGAGAACUGCCAUCGAUACUGUUAUUCUUGAGUGCAGAAGAGGUUGAUGGAAUUCUAGGUGUAGCGGUGAAAUGCGUAGAUAUCUAGAAGAACACCGAUGGCGAAGGCAGUCAACUGGUCUGCUACUGACGCUCAUGCUCGAAAGCGUGGGGAUCAAACAGGAUUAGAUACCCUGGUAGUCCACGCCCUAAACGAUGAAUACUCGAUGUCGGGCCGCAAGGCUCGGUGUCCAAGCUAACGCAUUAAGUAUUCCACCUGGGGAGUACGAUCGCAAGGUUGAAACUCAAAGGAAUAGACGG